AAAGAGACAGACACUAAAUCACUGCACUUUUGACAAUUCCUCUCUUCUCUCCCACCACCCAUCCUCCCCCACCUACACCGAUCAGAUCUUUGUGGUGGACUUAAGACUUUAAGACUUUUGUUGCUGUUUCCAUGAGCCUGGGGAGAGGCUCCUGUGUACCUCGUGGGGGUACUUUUGGAGCCCAUGGAACAGACUUACGGCGUAUGACCUCAUCGGAGACUUGUACAUGGGGCCAACCCCCAUUUUCCCACAGGAAACCCACACUCUAAUUAAGGGCUGACCCUGAACUUGAAUCUGAGUCUUCUCUUUCUUCAACAGAGAGCCAUCUCUCCAGCCCAGCUGGCAAGGAGACAGGUGAUGUUACAGGAAAAAAUACACAGCUUGUGCCCUUGGAAUUACCAGAGUUCAAAGCCUGUUCAGCAUCUACCCACCAUGUGACCCGGGUCGAAUUCUUCAGUUUCUCUAAGCCCAUUUUCUCAUCUGUAAGAUGGGGAAGUGUAAUCAGUUCUGAACCCACAUAUACCUCACUGGGCUUGAACAGGCCUGAGCAGGCAUGUGGGGCUUUACUAGCUAGCCAUCCUUUCUGCCGCUCUCCCUCAUUCUCCUUCAAGCCCCCCAAAGUCCUUGGUGGAGGAGGAAGUGGAGACAGAACGUUUGGUGUUGGGUGAGGUACGUGAGGAGGCUGAUUUCAGAACCUCCAGGAAACAAAGCUUUAGUGUUCCGAGGGCAGUGCCCGCCUGUGCCUCCUCCUCACAGGGGGUAGUAGGAGUGGGGUGGGGCCGAGGCAUUUCCCAGCACAGCUCAAUCACAUCUCCUGCGCCUGCCCUUGUGACCUGCUCACUGGAAAGGAAGAAAUGACCGAGGGAGAAGGGAGGGCAUUUGAGGGGAGAAGAAGAGGAUGGAGAAAAAAACUGGAUCAUCUCGUGACAUGGAAAGAAAGGUCUGAGCUCUGACGAUCCCCUCACGUGAUUAUAGGCAUGAGGACUCACUCUUCGAAUUGUUUGAAAAUUGAAUGGACUGGCUCACACCUUCUGAAAUUUCUUGGAAGCUCUGGAGUAACUAUUCCACUAAAGAACAGCGUGUUUUUGGCUGAAAUCUGUGACUGUUUGUUUUUGAGUUAUUUUAAUCUCUGUGUCAAGCAUGAAAACCUCAGCAGCCUGGGAUUUAUAAUUAGAUCCCACUGGCAUGCCCUCUCACCUCUCAAACAUGCCACAGUGCUUUGGCUCUCUCCUUGUGCAAACCUCCCUUUGAUAUUUUUGGAUAUCGAUACCAAGUGUAUCUGCAUAUUUUAACCAACUGAUAUGCAUAUCCUGUGAUCUGAGGCAUUCGCUCAAUGUGGGGCAUCAGGCCAGCUGUGAACUUCCUUUAAAAUUUAUUUUGUGUCAAAUGAUUCCCUAAUGCUAUAGCUCCCUUGAACUGCUAGAUUUAUGAAAAUUCUGCACAACACAUAGCUCAGAGAAAAAAAAAAAAGAGUGUUGCAAGACCAGAUAUAGGAUAUCAUUUGAUUUGUUUAAAACACUCUGUCCAGGGGGUUUUGACUUGCUAAUUUAAAAAUAAUUCUAAAAUUAGGUACAGUUGACCCUUAGUAUCCAUGGGGGAUUGGUUCCAGGAUGCCCUGUGGAUACCAGAAUCCAAGGAUGCUCAAGUUCCUGACAUAAAUGGCUUAGUGUUUGCAUAUAACCUACUCCCCUCUUCCUAUAUACUUUAAAUAAUCUCUAGAUUACUUAUAAUGCCUAACACAACGCCUGUGCAUCACUUCAUUCAUGUGGAUUCAAUGUAGUACUUGGUGUGAAGAAAAUUUAAGUCUUGCUUUUUGGAACUUUGUGGAUUUUUUUUUCUGGAAUGUUUUUGAUCUGCAGUUGGUUGAAUCCACAGGUGCAGAACUAUGGACACAGGGGGCUGACUAUGUAUAUUUAUAUCCACUUGCAAAAUUAAGAAUAAAAAUAAUGUGCAUCAGC
ensembl:lncRNA LINC00511 long intergenic non-protein coding RNA 511